rnacentral:lncRNA from 1 species
AGUAUGAUAAUUUCAAGUAAAAACAUUGAAAACACCAUGCUUUUAUGUGAAUACCACGUUCGCAUUCGUAUAAGUCCCACAUUCGCUUCUUAUGGCACUUAAACUCCCAAAGUCCCAAUCCCAUGCAGAAACUAACCAUCCGUCGACCUACUUCAUAACCAAUGUUCUUUGUAUUUAUCUCGACUUCCAAUUUUCCGACCAUUUAUGGAAUUUUAGUAUGAUUUGAUCAUCGAAAAGCUUCAUAUCGACGCUCAUAUGUUAUCCUAAAUUGUUCUGGCUAUUCAUUUUUGUUGUAGACAUCCACUAAUAUAAUGUCCAUUGAAUUACUAUAAGAUUUUUCUUUUCAACAGAUUAACAUUUUGCAGUCGCGAGUUUAGGUUGGAGUCUGUUCUUGAUGGGAUUAAUCAAAAACUGCCUCAUGUAAGCUACUGUGUAUGGAAAACAAGGGAAUAUUGUAAAAAAGGGUAAGAAACUCAUUUCCAUUAUUAUCGACUGGUGGAGUUGGACCGUUAAUUCGUGAUGGCCCAACAAUCUCUGAUAUUUUUUUGCUUGGUUAAUUUCGGACAUUGGAAUGUGAUGUGUGGAGCUCUUCAUUAAAGUGAAUAUUGCCUGUUUUGGAGUUUUGUUGGUGGAAAUUUUUUUUUUUGAUUAAAUUACAGCGAUUAUUGAGAUCGAGGAUUUCGUUUGAUCGUUAGGAAAAUGAUAUGUCAACAUCUUUGAAUCUAGAUCGUUAGGAAAAUGAGACAUUCAACAAUUUAUUUUGGAUAAAUAGACGUAAUUGGCUCUUUAAAGAAAUCUGGUUGCAGAUUUGAGGUCUUUGGCUAUUUACUAGACUAUUCAAUUUGGAUUUUGCUCUAACAGUCUACAGUAACCCGAAAACUUAAUAGUUUUCUAUUUUUAAGAAUGGAUUGGAUUGUGUUUUUUUUUUUUUGCAUAUGCGGAUGUGAAUACGAUUAUUUGUUAUAUAUUAGUGAUAAUAUUAUUUUGCAUAAAUAGCAUUAUGUGCUUAUAAUAAUCAUUUUCUUCAAACCAUAAUCUGGAAUAAAAACCGAAAGAAAAUAAAUGUAUUUGCGUUUUUAAUUUUAAAGAAUGUUUGUUAAAAAAAAUACUUCUUUCUUUUUAUAAGAUCUUUUUUAAAAGUGCAGAAGUUAAGAAUUCAUAUAAUUAUAAUUUUUUUCAUUUUUUUUUAACAUGUAAAAACAGGGGCGGAUGCAGGUGAGUGGAUAUGGGGUCAUGUGCUCCCUACUCUUUUUUUAUUUUUUUUAUUGAAUAAACUUAAAAAUAUAUAUUUUAAUAUGUUAUAUUAGUGAAUUUAUAAAA